rnacentral:tRNA from 1 species
GUGGGUAUAGCUUAGUGGGUAAAGCUCUUAGUUUAUAACCAAAUGAGUAAGGGUUCAUACCUCAUUUUAAACA